AAGGCUUGGGGACAAUGGUCGUCAUGUAGCAAACAAUGUGGAGGAGGCAAGCGCAGCAGAAGCCGACAAUGUUCCUCUACAGGCAAUCUUCCAUGUUCUGGUGAUACCAAAGAGGAGCAAGAUUGCAACAAGCAUUCAUGUCAAACAAAUGUUUGCGUGAGCGAUUGUAAAGGAAAGAAGAAUGGAGACUACCAAUCCUGUAGCACGUGUAAUGGUUUCAUCAAAUGCUCCAACUCCAAAUUGCAUAAUUUCAAAUGCCCAGGAUCAACUGUCUGGGAUGACAAAUCUAAAAGAUGUGAAUGGACAUCAACUACCUGUAAUUCUAAACCAGCUUUACAGAGAUGUUACACGUGCUCACACGGAAAGAAAAAUAGUGACUGUACAAAGAUAGAAACUUGCAAGAAGGAUGAGGA